UGCUAUGUGCGCGGAGCUGCGGACGGCUCAGUAAUACUGCGAUGAUUUGUUUGGGGCGCUGGUGUAGCCGCGGGAAACUGCGGGUAGUCUGGGGCGGUGCUGCGCUGGGGCGGAGUGUUGACUGAGUAAGUUGCAGACCCAUUAACUGGUAGCUAGGGUAAUGGCCUAGCUAGGUGACGACGGGCGACGGGGAAUUGGGGUUUGGUUCCGGAGAGGGAGCCUGAGAGAUGGCUACUAUGUCUAAGGAUAGCAGCAGGCGCGGAACUUGCCGAAUCCUGAUGGGAGGCAGUUAGCAAGCGUUGUUGUGUGGGGGAUUGCAGAGAG
rnacentral:rRNA from 1 species